AUUGAACGCUAGCGGCAUGCUUUACACAUGCAAGUCGAACGAGUGGCGGACGGGUGAGUAAUAUAUCGGAACGUGCCCAGUAGCGGGGGAUAACUACUGGAAAGAGUGGCUAAUACCGAAUACUAUUGGAGCGGCCGAUAUCGGAUUAGCUGGUGGGUGGGGUAAAGGCUCACCAAGGCAACGAUCCGGAGCUGGUUUGCGAGGACGAUCAGCCAAACUGGCACUGAGACACGGCCCAGACGCCUACGGGAGGCAGCAGUGGGGAAUAGUGCACAAUGGGCGCAAGGCUGAUGCAGCCAUGCCGCGUGUAUGAAGAAGGCCUGAGGGUUGUAAAGUACUUUCAGUCGUGAGGCGUUAGCGGCAGAAGAAGCACCGGCUAACUCCGUGCCAGCAGCCGCGGUAAUAC
rnacentral:rRNA from 1 species